rnacentral:rRNA from 1 species
AUUGAACGCUGGCGGCAGGCCUAACACAUGCAAGUCGAACGAGUGGCGGACGGGUGAGUAAUGUCUGGGAAACUGCCCGAUGGAGGGGGCUAACUACUGGAAACGGUAGCUAAUACCGCAUACCAUCGGAUGUGCCCAGAUGGGAUUAGCUAGUCGGUGGGGUAACGGCUCACCUAGGCGACGAUCCCUAGCCGGUCUGAGAGGAUGACCAGCCACACUGGAACUGAGACACGGUCCAGACUCCUACGGGAGGCAGCAGUGGGGAAUAUUGGACAAUGGGCGAAAGCCUGAUGCAGCCAUGCCGCGUGUAUGAAGAAGGCCUUCGGAUUGUAAAGUUCUUUCAGCGAGGAGGCGUUACUCACAGAAGAAGCACCGGCUAACUCCGUGCCAGCAGCCGCGGUAAUAC